GAGGUUCCUAGGAAAAGGACCAAAACCUUGCCACAGAAGAAAAGAAAGAUGCUGCAGUGACAAAUCCUGCCUGAUCUUCUUAAUCAGAUGCUCCAGAAAGAACUACAAGAUGCUGGUCUUAUUCCUCUUCCGAAGGAGCAGGUGUCAGUGUUUGGAGAGAGUGUCUGGUGGUUCCUUCCACCUUCUGAAGCAGGUCUCUCACACUUCCCACAUGGGCUCAGAGAAAAGACCACAUGAGGACUGCAGCAAGGAGGCAUCUGUCUGAAGCUUGGAAGAGUCCUCUCCAGAAACCAAGCCCUACUGGAUGUUGGUUUGGAACUCCCAGCCUCCAGAACUGUGAGAAGUGGAUUUCUAUUGUUUAAGCCACCCAGCCUGUGUUUUGUAAUGACAGCCAGCCUGAACCCAUAUGAUUGUUUCUAAUUCCUGGAUCUGGAAUCAGUCAUAAAUUAGUGAGGUAGGGAGUUCCCUGGUGGCCUGACAGUUAAAGGAUACAGGUGUUGUCACUGCUGUGGCUCAGGUUCUACUCCUGGCCUGGGAACUUCCGCAUGCCAUGGAUGCAGCCAAGAAAAUUAGUGAGGUAUGCACAAAAAUUAUAUACAGAGUCUGAACAGUAUUUUGCAAUCUUAACUAACUUAUAAUGCUUAAAAUAUGUACACAUAGGAGUUCCUAUUGUGGCUCAGUGGUAAUG